UGAGGAAUAUUGGUCAAUGGGCGAGAGCCUGAACCAGCCAAGUCGCGUGAAGGAAGACAGUCCUAAGGAUUGUAAACUUCUUUUAUACGGGAAUAACGGGCGAUACGAGUAUUGCAUUGAAUGUACCGUAAGAAUAAGCAUCGGCUAACUCCGUGCCAGCAGCCGCGGUAAAACGGAGGAUGCGAGCGUUAUCCGGAUUUAUUGGGUUUAAAGGGUGCGUAGGUUGUUCGGUAAGUCAGCGGUGAAACCUGAGCGCUCAACGUUCAGCCUGCCGUUGAAACUGCCGGGCUUGAGUUCAGUGGCGGCAGGCGGAAUUCGUGGUGUAGCGGUGAAAUGCAUAGAUAUCACGAGGAACUCCGAUUGCGAAGGCAGCUUGCCAUACUGCGACUGACACUGAAGCACGAAGGCGUGGGUAUCAAACAGG
rnacentral:rRNA from 1 species